rnacentral:rRNA from 1 species
GAUGAACGCUGGCGGCGUGCCUAAUACAUGCAAGUCGAGCGAACAGACGAGGAGCUUGCUCCUCUGACGUUAGCGGCGGACGGGUGAGUAACACGUGGAUAACCUACCUAUAAGACUGGGAUAACUUCGGGAAACCGGAGCUAAUACCGGAUAAUAUAUUGAACCGCAUGGUUCAAUAGUGAAAGACGGUUUUGCUGUCACUUAUAGAUGGAUCCGCGCCGCAUUAGCUAGUUGGUAAGGUAACGGCUUACCAAGGCAACGAUGCGUAGCCGACCUGAGAGGGUGAUCGGCCACACUGGAACUGAGACACGGUCCAGACUCCUACGGGAGUCAGCAGUAGGGAAUCUUCCGCAAUGGGCGAAAGCCUGACGGAGCAACGCCGCGUGAGUGAUGAAGGUCUUCGGAUCGUAAAACUCUGUUAUUAGGGAAGAACAAAUGUGUAAGUAACUAUGCACGUCUUGACGGUACCUAAUCAGAAAGCCAUGGCUAACUACGUGCCAGCCGCCGCGGUAAGAC